rnacentral:lncRNA from 1 species
GGUUUACAAGUGUGAGCCACAGUGCCCAGCCCCUGCAUUUCAUCUCUUGCCUACAUACCACACUACAGAAACCUUGCAUAAACUCUCUUCCCCUGUGCUAUGGACUGAGUUGAGUCUCCCAAAAUUUACACGUUGAAGCUCUAACCCCCAAGGUGGUCACAUUGGGAUGGGAGGUAAUUAGGUUUAGAUGUAAUGGGAGUGGGGUCCUCGUGCUGGGAUUAGUGUCCUUAUAAGAAGUGACACCAGGGAGCUUGUCACUUGUCUCUCUCUCUCUCCCUCCCUCCCCAUUUGCCUGCCCCUGCUACCCCAUGUCCAUGCAUGUACAAAGAAGAGCUCAUGUGAACACAUAGGGAGAUGGAGGCUACGUAUAAGCCAAGAGAAGAGGUCUCAGAAUGAAACCUACCUUGCCGGUACCUUGGACUUCCCUGCCUCCAGAACAGUCAGAAAGAUAUUUGUAGUUCAAGCCACCCAGUCUAUGAUAUUUUGUUUGGCAGUCCAAGCUGACUACCACUCUCCGCUUCAGUGGCAAACACCACUGUAUGGAAAAUAGCUCUUAUUCUUGAAAGUUGGAUAAGCAAAGAAUGUUACAUUUCUUUAUUUUAUCUCUUAUUUUCUCUAUAACUCAAGUUGAAUCUAAUUCUAUGUACAUUAUCUGUUAAGCUGGCAAAAAAAUUUCCAGAGCCUUCUUGCUGUCUCUCCACUCAGCGUCAUGUCCUAUUUUCAGAUGCAUGGCAGACACUCGUGGAGGGUCUUCUGGUGCCCAGCCCAUUAAUGGUGUCUACCCUGGGCUUUGUGAGCUCAAAGUCUGGCCUCUCUGCUACUCUGAUGGCAGUCUCAUGCCAUGGAAUUCCUGGGAGUGAUUGAAAUCUCAGAGUUUGGGGUCAGCCUUCUGACAGUCACUACACAGUCCUGAUAUCUGAGUUUGGUGACUUCCCCAGGGUGCAGGGUACAACUCUAAUCCCUGGUGUCCUGCAUGGUGGGGAUCUGACCAGAAGAGACCAAGUCACGUCAGCAUCCCACUGGUUAUCCAAGCCUAGACCAGGGCUCUCUAUUGAAACCUUGCUGGCCAAUCCAUCUUAUUCCCUGAAAGCUGUCAGCACCACAGCCCUUUUUCUUUCUCUCAUUUGUACUUCAUAGAGAGUGAGAAUUCUAGAAUCUUCUUAGAUGACAUCCAAAUUGUCCAGCAUUCUUCUUGGAACUAAUAAUUCCAGUCCAGCCUGAUUAUCCAAAAUAUACACUCUGAGCAUGUGUUAUACUUGCUACACAGUUUCACAUCUUAAUGCAUAUGGACUUUCACCUCCCUGCUCAUCUGUGAUCAGCAAAUAGAUAUAAAACCCACACAAUUCUUCCAGUUGCCACACACCUGGGCAAGUAUUGUUAGGCAUCUCCCUAAAGAAACAGGCAUCUGGGACUUGGAGACCACAGAGCGGUAUGGUCCAGUAGAAUUGUCUGUGAUGACGGACAUUACCUACGUUUGUUCUGUCAAACGCAGUAGCCACUAGCCACAGGUAGAUAUGGAACACAUGAAGUGUGGCUGGGGAAGGUGUCCCAACUGAAACAUUUGAAAUGAUAGCUUGGACUUGUUCUCAGCUGUUUUGUGGUUUCAAGAGAGAGACAGGGCAUGCAAGGUCUCCUGAGAUCCGGACUCAGAGCUGACGCACAGUUACUUCUGCUGCAUUCAUUAAAGCAAGUCACCAGCCAGGUCAAAUUUACAGGAUGGGGAAUUAGGUUUCACCUCUCAACAGGAAAAGCUACAGUCACAUGAC